GACGAACGCUGGCGGCGUGCUUAACACAUGCAAGUCGAACGGAAAGGCCCUGCUUUUGUGGGGUGCUCGAGUGGCGAACGGGUGAGUAACACGUGAGUAACCUGCCCUUGACUUUGGGAUAACUUCAGGAAACUGGGGCUAAUACCGGAUAGGAGCUCCUGCUGCAUGGUGGGGGUUGGAAAGUUUCGGCGGUUGGGGAUGGACUCGCGGCUUAUCAGCUUGUUGGCGGGGUAAUGGCUUACCAAGGCGAUGACGGAUAGCCGGUCGGAGAGGGUGGACGGAGACAUUGGGAAUGCGGAACGGCCGAAAAUCCGACGGGAGGCAGCAGUGGGGAAGAUUGGACAAUGGGGGUAACGCUGAUGCAGCGACGGCGAGUGAGUGAAGAAGUAGUUAGGUAUGUAAAGCUCUAUAAGCAGGGAAGAAAAGGACGGGACCGGAGGAAGAAGCCCCGGAUAACUACGU
rnacentral:rRNA from 1 species